CUUCAAUCCAAGCACGAACGGUCUUCUUUUGGAAUUGCCUUUGACAUUGAUGGUGUCGUUCUUCGCGGUCGCGUUCCCAUUGGAGGCUCUCCGCAAGCUCUGAGAAGACUGUAUGGAGAAUCUGGUACUCUACAACCUAUGCAUCUCCCUCUCUCUCUCUCUGUGCUCUGAAGGUGCCUUUUAUUUUCUUGACGAAUGGUGAGUCAUCAAGUGAUUCCAUCUGGGGUUCACGAGAAGAAACACGAAGAGCUAAUAAGGAGAGUGGCCUCAAAUAUAUUUGUUAACAUCCAUUUAUUAAUUAGGCUUAGUGAAGUAGAUGUGCACAAACAUGUGAUGGCAUGCUUCGAUCAUAGAAUGUUCGAGAUGCAUUUGUUUUGGAUGGUUUUUUUUUUAAGUUGUUUCGGAUACUUACUCUUCGGGUAAUACAAAUUAUUUUGACAAACCCACACACAUAUAGGGGAAGAUAUUUCUCAAAUUCCAUUAUUUUAGCAUGAUUUCAGUGCAUGGAUACGAUGUAUUUUUUGUAAUUGUUUAUACUUAUCUCUAGUGAUAUGUACACGACAGCAAUAAAAUGAAGAACACAGUUGUUUAAUUUGAAUAGGAGGUGGCAUCCCCGAAUCCAGACGUGCCAUUGAGCUAAGUGAUCUUUUGGGAGUAUACAUUUUACCUUCUCAGGUUGUACAGGGUCACUCAUCUUUUAAAACUUUGUUGAAGAGAUACGAGAAUGAACUCAUCAUUGCCACUGGGAAAGGGGAACCUGCUCUUGUAAUGUCUGAAUACGGUUUCAAAAAGGUCCUUUCAUUAGAUGAGUAUGCUUCCUACUUUGAGAAUAUUGAUCCUGUUUCUCAAUAUAAGAUGUGGACAACUAAGUGGGAGUCGAGUAAGGGUAGUUGCCCCAAGAACUUGGUUCCAAGUUUCAACAUCGCCUCUGACAGAGUUAAGGCAGCUUUUGUCGUCAGCGAUCCAGUAGAUUGGGGCAGGGACAUUCAGGUUCUCUGUGACAUUUUAAGCUCUGGAGGCCUUCCUGGAGAUGAUAAUGGACAGCAACCACCUUUGUAUUUUGCUGCUGAUGAUCUUGAAUAUCAGGUUGGUCAUUAAGCUAAUUCAGAAAUGUAGCCUUGGGCGUAGUCUAUAAAUGAUUUUUAUAUGUACUUUAAAUAGGAUCCCCAAAAUUGCUUUUAGAAAAUGAUCAAUCCAAAUUUGUUUAUUUAACUGAGAGCUAUUCAUAGAUGGUGUAACAUUUCUACACAAACUUGUGAAUACUUACAUCGAUUACCUAGUUUAUGGAUUCAAAGAGGAAAUUUCUUACCUGUGUGAAGUGCAGCAGAAAAAUCAUAGAUGCUGAUCAGCUCGAAUGGUUUGAAGUGAUUAUAAGAACUAAGAACCAACACUCAACAGGCAUGACUUAUGCAGCCUUGGUGUCAUGCCCAUAAGUCAACACUCAAAGUGGACUUCACUCGUUUUAAACCAUCAAAUUGUUCGGUCAUGGCAUAAAUAUUCCCAUAAGACUCCAGUAAUUUGUUUGUUUGUUUACUUGCUCAUUUUAACUCAGUUGCUGAAGUAACUUGAGAAUAUUACUUACAGUUGACUUACUUAAUUCAGGCAGCAUUUCCAUCUGAACGCCUUGGAAUGGGUGCUUUCAGAAUUGCACUGGAAAGUGUCUUCAACAGGUAAGAAUUCACUGUAAUGCUCUGGACUGCGUUAUAUUUGGGAAACCAAAUCCGUUUGUAUUCAAGAACACUGAAGCCAUACUGAGACAGCUUCACUCAUCAUGUGAUGAUAAUUACAUAAAUAAUGGAAACAAUGGAUCACACCCUUUCAAGACGCUUUAUAUGAUUGGUGACAACCCGUUAGUUGAUAUCAAGGGUGCACAACAGGCAGGACAUCCUUGGUUUUCAAUUUUGACGAGGACAGGUGUUUUCAGGGGAAAGGAUAAUCAUGCAGAAUUUCCGGCUGAUCUGGUCGUUGAUACUGUUGAAGAGGCGGUUGACUAUAUUUUGAAAAGGGAGAGUACGUCUUAGGACGUACGCCAUUUUUAAAAUGGAAUCCAUUUUUCGUGCUCUCUUGACCAAAACCAUUAUAUGGCAGGUAAAAAGAUAGUUAAAGCCAGAAAACGAAGGCUUCUCUCUUUAGCAAGUUAAUUUUUUAAAUCCCUCUGACGUUUUUGUUAGAUAGAGGAUGGAAAGUGCAAUUGUGUUUCUCGUAAUUUCAGUUUUUUACCAUUCAAAAGGCUUCGCCAAUUUCAAUU